UGGUGGGUAGUUUGACUGGGGCGGUCUCCUCCUAAAGAGUAACGGAGGAGCACGAAGGUUGGCUAAUCCUGGUCGGACAUCAGGAGGUUAGUGCAAUGGCAUAAGCCAGCUUGACUGCGAGCGUGACGGCGCGAGCAGGUGCGAAAGCAGGUCAUAGUGAUCCGGUGGUUCUGAAUGGAAGGGCCAUCGCUCAACGGAUAAAAGGUACUCCGGGGAUAACAGGCUGAUACCGCCCAAGAGUUCAUAUCGACGGCGGUGUUUGGCACCUCGAUGUCGGCUCAUCACAUCCUGGGGCUGAAGUAGGUCCCAAGGGUAUGGCUGUUCGCCAUUUAAAGUGGUACGCGAGCUGGGUUUAGAACGUCGUGAGACAGUUCGGUCCCUAUCUGCCGUGGGCGCUGGAGAACUGAGGGGGGCUGCUCCUAGUACGAGAGGACCGGAGUGGACGCAUCACUGGUGUUCGGGUUGUCAUGCCAAUGGCACUGCCCGGUAGCUAAAUGCGGAAGAGAUAAGUGCUGAAAGCAUCUAAGCACGAAACUUGCCCCGAGAUGAGUUCUCCCUGAGACUUAGAGUCUCCUGAAGGAACGUUGAAGACGACGACGUUGAUAGGCCGGGUGUGUAAGCGCAGCGAUGCGUUGAGC
rnacentral:rRNA from 1 species